ensembl:lncRNA
GGGGAGUGAGUCAGGGACAGUGGAUUGGGGGUUAGAGGGGAGGUAUGCCAGGUAGGAGUAAGAGAGGGAUGAGGGUAAGGGAGAUAGAGGAGAGAGAGUCAGGGACAGUGGAUGGAGGGUUAGAGGGGUGGUAUGCCAGGUAGGAGUGAGAGAGAGGAGAGAGAGUCAGGGACAGUGGAUGGAGGGUUAGAGGGGGAGGUAUGCCAGGUAGGAGUGAGAGGGGGAUGGGGUUUAAGGGAGAUAGAGGAGAGAGAGUCAGGGACAGUGGAUGGAGGGUUAGAGGGGGAGGUAUGCCAGGUAGGAGUGAGAGAGGGAUGAGGGUAAGGGAGAGAGAGAGAGAGAGAGUCAGGGACAGUGGAUGGAGGGUUAGAGGGGGAGGUAUGCCAGGUAGGAGUGAGAGAGGGAUGAGGGUAAGGGAGAGAGAGAGAGAGAGAGAAUCAGGGCAGGCAGGUCAGACAGGUAGUGGUGGAAUGUGACUCCCUGCAUGUAUUAUCAGGCUCAGGGCAGACAGAGCAGAAAGAAGAGCGACGUGUUGACAGAUCACUCCCUGUCUAUUGACACGUCCUUCCUACCCUGAGGCUCUAUAUGAUGAGACAGUCUCUCUGCCUAGUCUGCACCAUCACCAUGACAACCCAUAGAGGCAGUCAACAUCUCAGUGAUGUCAUUGUGUGGGUGGCUGUUGGGAAGGUUUGCAGCACAGG